UACGUAGGGUGCAAGCGUUAAUCGGAAUACUGGGCGUAAAGCGUGCGCAGGCGGUGAUGUAAGACAGUUGUGAAAUCCCCGGGCUCAACCUGGGACUGCAUCUGUGACUGCAUCGCUGGAGUGCGGGCAGAGGGGGAUGGAAUUCCGCGUGUAGCAGUGAAAUGCGUAGAUAUCGGGAGGAACACCGGGUGGCGAAGGCGGCGAUCUGGGGUCGAUACUGACGCUGAGGUGCGAAAGC
rnacentral:rRNA from 1 species